rnacentral:piRNA from 1 species
UGAGGUGAUGAAGGAAGAGGCCGGG